CAAGCUUAGAGUUUGAUCAUGACUCAGAUUGAACGCUGGCGGUAGGCUUAACACAUGCAAGUCGAGCGGUAACAGAUCUAGCUUGCUAGAUGCUGACGAGCGGCGGACGGGUGAGUAACGCGUAGGAAUCUACCUAGUAGUGGGGGACAACAUGGUGAAAACCAUGCUAAUACCGCAUACGCCCUACGGGGGAAAGCGGGGGAUCUUCGGACCUCGUGCUAUUAGAUGAGCCUGCGUUAGAUUAGCUAGUUGGUGGGGUAAAGGCCCACCAAGGCGACGAUCUAUAGCUGGUCUGAGAGGAUGAUCAGCCACACUGGGACUGAGACACGGCCCAGACUCCUACGGGAGGCAGCAGUGGGGAAUAUUGCGCAAUGGGGGAAACCCUGACGCAGCCAUGCCGCGUGUGUGAAGAAGGCCUUAGGGUUGUAAAGCACUUUCAGCGAGGAGGAAAAGCUAGUCGUUAAUAACGGCUAGCCGUGACGUUACUCGCAGAAGAAGCACCGGCUAAUUCAGUGCCAGCAGCCGCGGUAAUACUGAAGGUGCAAGCGUUAAUCGGAAUUACUGGGCGUAAAGCGCGCGUAGGUGGUUAGUUAAGCGAGAUGUGAAAGCCCUGGGCUCAACCUGGGAACUGCAUUUCGAACUGCACGGCUAGAGUGUGUCAGAGGGGGGUAGAAUUCCACGUGUAGCAGUGAAAUGCGUAGAGAUGUGGAGGAAUACCGAUGGCGAAGGCAGCCCCCUGGGAUAACACUGACGCUCAUGCACGAAAGCGUGGGGAGCAAACAGGAUUAGAUACCCUGGUAGUCCACGCCCUAAACGAUGUCAACUAGUUGUUGGGGAUUCACUUCUUUAGUAACGUAGCUAACGCGUGAAGUUGACCGCCUGGGGAGUACGGCCGCAAGGUUAAAACUCAAAGGAAUUGACGGGGACCCGCACAAGCGGUGGAUGAUGUGGAUUAAUUCGAUGCAACGCGAAAAACCUUACCUACCCUUGACAUGCCAGGAACUUGCCAGAGAUGGCUUGGUGCCCGAAAGGGAGCCUGGACACAGGUGCUGCAUGGCUGUCGUCAGCUCGUGUCGUGAGAUGUUGGGUUAAGUCCCGCAACGAGCGCAACCCUUGUCAUUAGUUGCUACAUUUAGUUGAGCACUCUAAUGAGACUGCCGGUGACAAGCCGGAGGAAGGUGGGGAUGACGUCAAGUCCUCAUGGCCCUUAUGGGUAGGGCUUCACACGUCAUACAAUGGCGCGUACAGAGGGUUGCCAACCCGCAAGGGGGAGCCAAUCCCAGAAAGCGCGUCGUAGUCCGGAUUGUUCUCUGCAACUCGAGAGCAUGAAGUCGGAAUCGCUAGUAAUCGCGGAUCAGCAUGUCGCGGUGAAUACGUUCCCGGGUCUUGUACACACCGCCCGUCACACCAUGGGAGUGGGUUUCACCAGAAGUAGCUAGCCUAACCGCAAGGGGGGCGGUUACCACGGUGAGAUUCAUGACUGGGGUGAAGUCGUAACAAGGUAGCCGUAUCGGAAGGUGCGGCUGGAUCACCUCCUUU
rnacentral:rRNA from 1 species